GAUGAACGCUGGCGGCGUGCCUAAUACAUGCAAGUCGAGCGAACGGACGAGAAGCUUGCUUCUCUGAUGUUAGCGGCGGACGGGUGAGUAACACGUGGAUAACCUACCUAUAAGACUGGGAUAACUUCGGGAAACCGGAGCUAAUACCGGAUAAUAUUUUGAACCGCAUGGUUCAAAAGUGAAAGACGGUCUUGCUGUCACUUAUAGAUGGAUCCGCGCUGCAUUAGCUAGUUGGUAAGGUAACGGCUUACCAAGGCAACGAUGCAUAGCCGACCUGAGAGGGGGAUCGGCCACCCUGGAACUUGAACACGGUCCCGACUCCUACGGGAGGCAGCAGUCGGGAAACUUCCGCAAUGGGCGGAAGCCUUACGGAGCAACGGCGCGGGAGUUAUGAAAGUCUUCGGAUCGGAAAAACCUGUUAUUAGGGAAGAACAUAUGUGUAAGUAACUGUGCACAUCUUGACGGUACCUAAUCAGAAAGCCACGGCUAACUACGUG
rnacentral:rRNA from 1 species